GUACAUGCUACCCUUGGUGGAAAAAUAUUUUUAAUUCUUUUUGUGGUAAUCAGAUGGAUCCCAAAUUUUUACAGUAACUCAUUGAUGACAUAAGUAAGGUGUUGUAAUUUUCUCAAUCUCAUAUGUUCCUGUUUGCUUGUGGAACCACAUUUUGGAUAAGAAAUCGAUUUAAGGGAAUAAAGAAAUAUAAGUCCUAAUACACCUAAUGGGUAAUUUUUGGAAGAGAUACAAAAAAAUAUUCAAAAGUAAAUAACUCUCCAAAUGAACCCCGAACAAACCUAAACAUGACCCCACCUUCUUUAUGCAACUCUAAGUUGUAAGAAUCUUAUAUGUACACAAUCACCAUCAAAGUCAACCUCGAGUUUAAACCACAACCCACCUUACUUUAUGAAGUUAAUAAAAGUUAGAACCUUGUUUAGGUGAAUGUGACCGAAAUACAACUUUCUUUCUAGCAAUGAGUCAUGCCUUGCAUCAUUCGUACAAAAGCAUGGAAAAAUCUAAACUCUUGCAUAUGCAUGUCAUGUAGAAGCUAAUAUCGCCGACGGAACCUACGAGCUCCACCCUACGUUGGAAGAGGAAACCGUCACAGAGCUACAUCACGCGGAAGUUGAGCCCGAGCUAGAUCAAG
rnacentral:lncRNA from 1 species